UACGGAGGGGGCUAGCGUUGUUCGGAAUACUGGGCGUAAAGCGCACGUAGGCGGCUUUGUAAGUUAGAGGUGAAAGCCCGGAGCUUAACUCCGGAACUGCCUUUAAGACUGCAUCGCUUGAAUCAUGGAGAGGUUAGUGGAAUUCCGAGUGUAGAGGUGAAAUUCGUAGAUAUUCGGAAGAACACCAGUGGCGAAGGCGACUAACUGGACAUGUAUUGACGCGUGAGGUGCGAAAGCGUGGGGAGCAAACAGG
rnacentral:rRNA from 1 species